AGAGUUUGAUCCUGGCUCAGGACGAACGCUGGCGGCGUGCUUAACACAUGCAAGUCGAGCGGUAAGGCCCUUCGGGGUACACGAGCGGCGAACGGGUGAGUAACACGUGGGUAACCUGCCCUGUACUCUGGGAUAAGCCUGGGAAACUAGGUCUAAUACCGGAUAUGACCUGUCACUGCAUGGUGACGGGUGGAAAGUUCCGGCGGUACAGGAUGGACCCGCGGCCUAUCAGCUUGUUGGUGGGGUAAUGGCCUACCAAGGCGACGACGGGUAGCCGGCCUGAGAGGGUGACCGGCCACACUGGGACUGAGACACGGCCCAGACUCCUACGGGAGGCAGCAGUGGGGAAUAUUGCACAAUGGGCGAAAGCCUGAUGCAGCGACGCCGCGUGAGGGAUGACGGCCUUCGGGUUGUAAACCUCUUUCAGCGGGGACGAAGGGCAACUGACGGUACCCGCAGAAGAAGCACCGGCUAACUACGUGCCAGCAGCCGCGGUAAUACGUAGGGUGCGAGCGUUGUCCGGAAUUAUUGGGCGUAAAGAGCUCGUAGGCGGUUUGUUGCGUCGGCUGUGAAAACUUCACGCUUAACGUGGAGCCUGCAGUCGAUACGGGCAGACUUGAGUUCGGCAGGGGAGACUGGAAUUCCUGGUGUAGCGGUGAAAUGCGCAGAUAUCAGGAGGAACACCGGUGGCGAAGGCGGGUCUCUGGGCCGAUACUGACGCUGAGGAGCGAAAGCGUGGGGAGCGAACAGGAUUAGAUACCCUAGUAGUCC
rnacentral:rRNA from 1 species